ACCCCUCCUAUUAUUCCCCUCCUAUUCUCCUACCGUGUGUGUGAUUCUGAGUCUCGGGGCACAGAUGUGCUAAACAGUGGGAGGGUACAUCUUCAGUACCCUUCUGAGUACCCCAGUGGCAUCGUCACUCUGUCAAACAAAAGAAUUCUGCCUCCUAACUCCAAGAAGUUGGUGGCUGUUGGACAAGAGCUCAGUCACUCUGCUGGCACCCAACCAAGUUAUUUUAAUCUGUCCCUUCCUGUCCACCAACUUUUCUAAAGGCUGACCCUCACCACCCCCUCUCUGGAUCCUAUCCCAUCCUGAGAACCACCUUUUCCUUGAACCUACUGGUAGAAAAGUCAAUCUCUCUGAAACUCAACUUCCUCAUCUUGAUUAUGUGGAGAAAAAAUGGUAUUUCCUUCACAGGGUUGUCAUGGAGAUUGUAUGAGUUAAUCAAUAGAAAGUGUUUGCUUUAGUGCCUCCUAUACAAUAGACACCUAAUAAACAUCCUCGUGGGUGUGAAGAUCAAACUAGUCUGGAUGGCUAGGUUGGGUACUUCUGACAUGAGGGCUUGUUCCAGGAUAACCCCUUUCACACCUCUUCCCAACUUCUGACCACUGCUUGGUUGUCUCCUGCAGCCCUCAGGAUACCUUCCUCUGCUUUGCAGUGGGCAACCCUCACCUCCUGACUCUUUGACUUCCCCUCUGACUUCCCCUCCACCCUGUUCAGACUUCCUCUGCUGAUCCAAGCUAGCUGCUGGCAUUGGAAACUGGCCUCAGUGCCUCCCCACCCCUCACCAUAGGUAGGAGACUAGGCUUCUCUAUUCCCAGCUGAGCACACAGAGCUUUACCACCCACUGUUAGGAGAACACUACUGAUGGGAUGAUCACAGAAACUCCCUGGGAUCCUGUUUGUGGACACACAAUUGAGCUAAAACAUCUGCCAUCAAGAUUAUACUCAGUGUAGACUGAUAGUAUUUCGGGAGCAAGAGAAGGAUCAUAAAGCGUCUCCUCUGUUGUUUAGUGUCUGUUAGCA